AAUAAAGUGCCUGAAAAAGGAUUAUUCUGAUAGGAUAAAUUAUGCAAUAAUUUGCCUUUAUUG
rnacentral:tRNA from 1 species